rnacentral:rRNA from 1 species
UACGAAGGGUGCAAGCGUUAAUCGGAAUUACUGGGCGUAAAGGGUGCGUAGGCGGUUGUUUAAGUCUGUCGUGAAAUCCCCGGGCUCAACCUGGGAAUGGCAGUGGAUACUGGGAGGCUGAGAGUGUGUCAGAGGAUGGUGGAAUUCCCGGUGUAGAGGUGAAAUUCGUAGAUAUCGGGAGGAACACCAGUGGCGAAGGCGGCGAUCUGGGAAGAUACUGACGCUGAGGUGCGAAAGCGUGGGGAGCAAACAGG